GAAGCACUCCACACGGCGAAUUGAAUGAAGCGUAAGUUCUGAAGUAAAUUGCAGUCGGGAGCGGUUGCCGGCGAGGUUGACGGGCGAGGGGCGUGGGGCGGAUUCAAAUUUGCACGAACUAGAUAAAUGCCGAGUGUCCGGACAUAAAGAUUUGUAUUCCGAUGCUGCGCGCCCAAACUACCGCCGUCGUAUUAAUGAAAGUAAUUGAGACAGAAC
rnacentral:misc_RNA from 1 species